GACGAACCGUGCGAACGUUGUUCGGAAUCACUGGGCUUAAAGGGCGCGUAGGCGGGUCAGCAAGUCCGGGGUGAAAUCUUUCAGCUCAACUGGAAAAGUGCCUUGGAUACUGCUGGUCUUGAGGGAGGUAGGGGCGUGCGGAACUUCUGGUGGAGCGGUGAAAUGCGUUGAUAUCAGAAGGAACGCCGGUGGCGAAAGCGGCGCGCUGGACCUCUUCUGACGCUGAGGCGCGAAAGCUAGGGGAGCAAACGGG
rnacentral:rRNA from 1 species